AGGACGAACGCUGGCGGCGUGCCUAACACAUGCAAGUCGAGCGGAGUCGGUAAGAGGAAGUUUCGGAUGGAAUCUUAUGAUUAGCGGCGGACGGGUGAGUAACGCGUGAGCGACCAACCUUGCACAGGGGGAUAACGGACCGAAAGGUUCACUAAUACCGCAUGAGACCACGGUGUUGCAUGACACAGAGGUCAAAGGAGCAAUCCGGUGCAAGACGGGCUCGCGUCCGAUUAGGUAGUUGGAGGGGUAACGGCCCACCAAGCCUAUGAUCGGUAGCCGACCUGAGAGGGUGAUCGGCCACAUUGGAACUGAGAUACGGUCCAAACUCCUACGGGAGGCAGCAGUGGGGAAUAUUGGGCAAUGGGGGAAACCCUGACCCAGCAACGCCGCGUGAAGGAAGAAGGUUUUCGGAUUGUAAACUUCUGUCCUUGGUGAAGAGAAGAAGACGGUAGCCAAGGAGGAAGCCCCGGCUAACUACGUGCCAGCAGCUGC
rnacentral:rRNA from 1 species